CCAGCGGUGAUGAGCCUCUAACAUGUAAGAAGAAAUCUCUAGUUGGGUUCCUUCAAUGAAAUUUACUUGUUACGCUUGGCUUCUGAGUUUU
rfam:Glycine soja cultivar W05 scaffold2700_2, whole genome shotgun sequence.